CCCCACCCUAAACAGAAACAUAAUUAAAAUCCAGAUUAAAAUCAAACAUGAAAAUAAUUAGCUAGAAAUCCACAACCAAUGCACAUUCACAUAUACAAUUUUGUACACCAUUCAUUCUUAUUCACAAAUAAAAAGGCUAGUAACAUUCUAACAAAAUCUUUCCUAUUGACACUAACUGAAGAGAGGAGGGGUGACAACUUUGUCAAAAUUGCAAUGUCAUGGAAAUGGGAGAUGAUGCUAUCAGGUUGAAGAAUUCAUCAGGGACAGAGGAUAAGAUUUGCAAGAUGGCCAGAAUAACAUGAUGCAACAAUCAAAUAUUACCACAAACAGUUGCAAUCCAUAUCAGACUGUAUAUUUUGAUGUCACCAGAUAUUGCCCACCAGAUUGCCCUGGCCUAUCCUAGCUGGCUAACCAAAUGGAAUGUAUGGCUACUAAGGGGUCUCACUGUCAUCUAGGCAUGUCUUAGCUUAUCCUUUUGCAACCCAGAUGCAACAGCCCAAACUUCAUACAUUGUGAUAGAACAAUGUUUUGAUAAAAUAAUGACAUCUUCACAAAGAGGUGAAGUUCUACAAAGCUUUUACUUCUAUGAUGCUUCAGCAGCUCAAGAGAAAGAAUGAAGAUUUUCUGGGAACGCAAUGGGAAACCAACAUAAUUUAAAACAUAGGCUAGGGAUGAGAAGGGGGUCAAGGUUGGAGGUAAAGUUAGGUUGCCAGGGGUUCAGAUGUUGCUAUAAAUGGCCAAUGAGGAAAGGCUCUACAUCUGACCACAGUAAAUAUUUCAGGGUUCUUUAACUCAUUCAGAGAAUCAGUAUUAUUUUUGCCAAAUUAGUUGGAUGCCCAGCUAAAGUUAUUUUUGGGAUUGUCUAUAGAGUUUCUCAAUCAUCUAAGUCAUGGUUGUCCCAAAGGUGCUUUUCCAAAAACAAUUGGUCUUUCUUGGGUUUUAUUCUUUGAAAACAUUUCACUUCUGAUCCAAGAAGCUUCUUCAGUUCUGGGAUUAUUUCAAACAUCCGUCUUUAAAAAAAAUCUACAAAUAAGACAUUCUAUUUCCCCUUUCCUUCUUCUUCCCUUAAUGAAUAUUGUUUGGACUGAGCUGUCAGGAAAAAGCAAGUUAUGCAGCCAAAUAAGUAAACAUGAAAUAUGAAAUGAAACGUUGGAGACAAGAUAAGGCAAUGAAGAUUAAGCAGAGCAUGGUGUUCUAUUAAAGGGUACAGAAGUGCAUUUAUUUUUGGACAAGUCAUCUAUUUAUAGAAGGACCAUCUUGCUGAAGCUCCUCUCUCCAGUAUAGGUCAAUUGUGAACAUAGCACAGGCUUUCCACAAACACAUUUUGCUAGAUUCAGCACUCAGAGGCCUGAUUCAUGACAGGAAUGAACUACGGGACUUUAUAUUUUUUUGUAUGCGAUACCAAUAUAUCUGUCCAAGGAUAGUUGUGAUUAUACAGGGCUGAGCACAAAUCAAGUAGCUAGACCAUGGCCCUCACUAGGAGUAUUUAAAUUU